CAAUCACUGCUUCGAGGUAAGGGUUUGGUUCAGGUUUCAACUCCUCCCCCCGGGACAGCUGUGAACAGAGUCUGUUGUCAGACUAAAUUAUUCGGGUUCAAAGUGGCUGUAUGUUGUUCCUCGGAAUUUCAGGAAUUUGGAGGACCCUGGGGUGGUUUGGAUGACCUAUUGGAGUAAUGUUCCCAUUUUCAUCAUCCUAUGGGUUAUGAAAAAUAAAAUGAUGAACGUACAAACACAUAUAUACUACUAGUGUCUAAGUAACUGACAAGAAUGGUCUCUUCGGCUAUUCACUCCUAUAUCAACAGGUUGCUGCUAAGUAAUUUGUGGUGAUCAAGGGACAUCUGCUGGACAUUGUGAAAAGAGCAUCAUUACAACUUGCUUUCCUAGUUCUGCUGAUUCAAGUCUGCCACCUGGUGGAGAAUGUGUGGCUAAUCCAAAG